rnacentral:lncRNA from 1 species
GUCAAAAUAAAAUAAUCUGCUCAGAUGAUUAUUUAAACAGUGGAUUCCUGAGACCAAUCCCCUGAGAUAUUAGUUGAAUACAACUGAGGAGGAUCUAGAAUCUGUAUUUUAACAAACUCUAGGUGACACUGAUAUAUGGGGAUGGUAUUAUAUUCUGAAACAGACUCCUCUAGGGUUUAAGAGUCUCAGAUGAAGAAUUUCCACUCUAUUCUUCUUCCAGAUUUUGUAUUUUUCAUCUCUUAGAAGAAUCUAAACUCAUAGAUCUUAUAUGCUUUAUUCGGUAUAUGACAUUAUAAUAUGUUGAUAUGAGAAUAAGAAAGUACUUCCUGGUUUCCCACUAGGCUUUUAAUGCCUAGUCCCAUUCCCUUGGGGGAAUUGUGGGGAGAAGAAAGAGAGUAGCUGCUUUCAGAUUCUGUUCGCCACCCUAGGAUUCUUCCAACAGAACACUUGUUGCCCCGAUGACUGUGAAUUAAUUUUUAUGUGCAAUCAAAAACUCCGAUUAAUUCAGCAGGACUUGAAAAGCAGGU